ensembl:lncRNA
CAAUACCCAGACUUUUCUAGUUCAAGUGAACACAAACAUGCCUAUGAAAUUCAUCUUUGUAGAAAAGUCAGCACAUACUUCAACUUUUAAAAUGAAGAAAUUGGACCAGCUUAACAGAACACAGCAGGCUGAUUCUGUUAUUUCCAAUCCAAGCCAGAUCAGUGGUUUCUAAAGCAAACUUGAGCUAUGCUCAAAUUCUAACGACUCAUCUACUAGUGGCACUACCUACCAGUAAUACUGGAUUUGCACAGACUGUUAUGUUUCAGAAAGGGAAAUAUGCC